CCCUUAGAUGUCCUGGGCCGCACGCGCGCUACACUGAUGCAUGCAACGAGUUUAUAACCUUGGCCUGAAAGGUCUGGGUAAUCUUUUGAACGUGCAUCGUGAUAGGGAUAGAUUAUUGCAAUUGUUAAUCUUGAACGAGGAAUUCCUAGUAAACGCGAGUCAUCAGCUCGCAUUGAUUACGUCCCUGCCCUUUGUACACACCGCCCGUCGCACCUACCGAUUGGAUGGUUCGGUGAAGAUCUCGGACUUCGAUAUUUAUUCUUUAUUGAGUUUAUAUUGUGGGAAGUUAUCUAAACCUCAUCAUUUAGAGGAAGGUGAAGUCGUAACA
rnacentral:rRNA from 1 species